AGACAGCUAGGAUGUUGGCUUAGAAGCAGCCAUCAUUUAAAGAAAGCGUAAUAGCUCACUAGUCGAGUCGGCCUGCGCGGAAGAUGUAACGGGGCUAAGUUGUAAACCGAAGCUGCGGCAAUGUUCUAUGAACAUUGGGUAGGGGAGCGUUCUGUAAGCCGUUGAAGGUGUGUUGUAAAGCAUGCUGGAGGUAUCAGAAGUGCGAAUGCUGACAUGAGUAACGACAAGGGGGGUGAAAAACCUCCCCGCCGGAAGACCAAGGGUUCCUGUCCAACGUUAAUCGGGGCAGGGUAAGUCGACCCCUAAGGCGAGGCUGAAAAGCGUAGUCGAUGGGAAACGGGUUAAUAUUCCCGUACUUCUUACAAUUGCGAUGGGGGGACGGAGAAGGCUAGGUGGGCCUGGCGACGGUUGUCCAGGUUCAAGUGCGUAGGCUGAGUGUUUAGGUAAAUCCGGACACUCUUAAGGCUGAGACACGACGUCGAGCUACUACGGUAGUGAAGUCAUUGAUGCCAUGCUUCCAGGAAAAGCCUCUAAGCUUCAGAUUGUAAGGAAUCGUACCCCAAACCGACACAGGUGGUCGGGUAGAGAAUACCAAGGCGCUUGAGAGAACUCGGGUGAAGGAACUAGGCAAAAUGGUACCGUAACUUCGGGAGAAGGUACGCUCUUGAUGGUGAAGUCCCUUGCGGAUGGAGCUGACGAGAGUCGCAGAUACCAGGUGGCUGCAACUGUUUAUUAAAAACACAGCACUGUGCAAAAUCGUAAGAUGACGUAUACGGUGUGACGCCUGCCCGGUGCCGGAAGGUUAAUUGAUGGGGUUAGCGUAA
rnacentral:rRNA from 1 species